rnacentral:rRNA from 1 species
UACGGGGGGAGCAAGCGUUGUUCGGAUUUACUGGGCGUAAAGGGGCGCGUAGGCGGCGCAACAAGUCACUUGUGAAAUCUCCGGGCUUAACCCGGAGCGGUCAAGUGAUACUGUCGUGCUAGAGUGCGGAAGGGGCUACUGGAAUUCUCGGUGUAGCGGUGAAAUGCGUAGAUAUCAAGAGGAACACCUGAGGUGAAGACGGGUUGCUGGGCCGACACUGACGCUGGAUGCGCGAAAGCUAGGGGAGCGAACGGG